CCACAAAUGGUUUGAUGAACCUCAGAAGAAUGUCAAAAUGAGACAAGGUGUUUGAGUUUCUGUACACUCCGGGAGAGCUGCUGGGUGAAGGAGGCUACGGGACAGUCUGUGCAGGAGUCCGUAAUGCUGAUGGAAAGCAGGUUGCACUUAAAUAUAUGGGGGAAAAAAAGGACAUUAAAUACAUCACCAUUCCUGGAGAGACAAGCAGCCUUCCUCUGGAAGUUGCAUUUAUGAAAAAGGUUUCCAAGCCACUUCUUUGUAAGAACGUGCUGGAGAUUAUUGAAUGGUUCGAGAUGUCCGAUUGCUUCAUCUUGGUCCUGGAGCGACCCAGCCCCUGCAUGGACGUCCUGCAGUUCCUUAAACAUCACGACGGCCGACUGUCAGAAGCACUGGCUACAAAAUUAUGGGUCAGGUGGUUAAAGCUGCUCGUCACUGCUGUAGUGCCGGUGUUUUUCAUGGUGACAUCAAGGCGGAGAACCUUCUCAUCAACCCUGACACACUGGAAGUGAAGCUUAUUGACUUUGGCUGUGGAGAUUUGCUCUCUCACACACCCUACACAGAAUAUGAAGGUAAGUGCAUAAUAAGUACAAGACAGAAUCAAAGAGAAUACAUUGAAGUUUUUUUUUCAACAGUGCUGAUGGUGCUCCUUCUCUCACUUUGAGUAACUCUCCACCUGAGUGGGUGUGUGAUGGAGAGUAUUUCGGUUAUCCUGCCACCAUGUGGAGUCUGGGAGUUCUCCUGUUUUACCUGGUCUGUGGACACUUGCCCUUCCACAACGAGGACGACAUCUUUUACAGGAAGAUGUACUUCGCUCAAGGCAUGUCUGAAGGUUGCCACAAUCUGAUAAACUGGUGUCUGGACCCGGAACCUGAAUGUUGGCCAAUGUUUGAAGAAAUCCUCAACCAUAAAUGGGUUACAUCUGCUGGAUAUGAGUGAAGGAUCUGAGUGGGGGUGGAGCUGUUGAAGACCCUCGCCCUCACUUACAUAAAGAAAAAAAUAAACAAACAAAUGUAUAUAUAAAUGUAUAUAUAAAACAAAUAAAUCGUUGUAUAUAUAAAUGAAUUCCAUUGCAGCACCAUUUUUUUUCUUAUUUAGCAAUCUGGAUGUCUAUUUUCUAGUGUGCUUGGGAUUACUGUCCUGUUCACUCCAGCUUAAGCUGCUGAAAUAUGGUCCUAUACCUGAUUUGGAAAUAGAUGUACACACAUGGACAAAAUUGUUGGUACCCUUCCAUUAAAGAAAGAAUGGUCACUGAAAUAACUUGAAAUGGUGAAAAGUAAUAAUAAAUAAAAAUUUACUUAAAAAUGACUAAUGAAAAUCAGACAUUGAUUUUGA